UACAGAGGCCCCAAGCGUUAGGCGGAAUCACUGGGCUUAAAGCGUGUGUAGGCGGGUUGGUAAGUACUUUGUGAAAUCCCACGGCUCAACUGUGGAAUUGCUUAGUAUACUGCCGAUCUUGAGUCAUUUAGGGGCAGCCGGAACAGAUGGUGGAGCGGUGAAAUGCGUAGAUAUCAUCUGGAACGCCAAUGGUGCAGACAGGCUGCUGGAAUGAACUGACGCUGAGGCACGAAAGCCAGGGGAGCGAACGGG
rnacentral:rRNA from 1 species